GUCAGGCGUUCGUCCAGAGACACGAACCCGUAGCACGAGCCGCUCGUGUUUUCGGCUUUCCGGGACGCUGCACGGACCUGCGCGUCUCCAUCUAGGCGUCGGCUGGGGGUUCGAACCGACGAACCCUUGGCUUGAUAACAGUGCCACGCCAUCCGUCGCUGGCAACGUAUAAAUUGCAUGUGCCAGGCGUCAAGCGUUCAUCAGCUAGCUACCUCGUUGAUUCGAUUGUUUUUCACAUGUUUCUUCGUUGGAGGACGACCGUUUCUUUGUCGAGUUCGAGCUUAGGUGAUUUCUGUUCGGGUUAACGAGGUGUCUGCGAGUUGUGGGAGUUGAGUAUGGCAACUGACCCUUCGGUAUAUCACGCGCGAUUUUUGGCUCCAGUUUCUUUAUAUGUUGGCGACAAUCGAACGGGAAAUAGGAACGGGGUGUGGAAACCGAGUUAAAAAAAGAAAGAAAGAAAAAAAGGAGAGAGAAGAGGAAAGAAAAAAGAAAAACAUGAAUAUGAAUGAUUAUAUACCUGGUGUGUGCCGGUUGAAGUUAUUAAUAUUCCAUUCAAACCGUGGUUUCUAUUCAGGACACUCUCUGGAAAUUCAAAUGAAUCGAGUGAAUUCUGAUCCGCGGCCAGAUUGCAGUUGGAAAGUGGACGACCAUUACCGUCCAUUCUAUAAAUUUGGAUCGUCCUUUAUGGUGGCUCGUUAAAACUAACGUAGUUACCGGCCGAUCUCUGGGAUUAAAUCGGUCAAACAAGCUGGCCAGAUGACUCGGAAAACGGCUCGGAAAACAAACGGAAGUGCUGAGCAACCUGCUAGCGACGAUAACAGGGUAACUUCGAAUUGAUAUUUGCAAUACGAUGUAAAAUUGUGUGUUCCAUCCAGGAAGAUCCGACAAAUAUUUUAUUUCCGUUGCAACAUACAAGUAUCUGUUAAAUCAUGGAUACAGCGUUACUAAUUGGUAAAAUAACAUACACGGUAUGAUUAAAAACAUAGUGGAAUCUUUAUACCGCUUCUAACAGUUACUAAAACUAAUAGUAAUUACAAUUAUCAACAUGUGUCUACAACAUAAAUUGUCUACCGUCAUACACAUACACGUAUCAACAUUUCCAUUUACGAUCCAGUAUAAGCAAUAUUUUUUCUUACGUUCUACUUACGAUCAAUUUUUCUCAAGUACUCUUUCAACGAUAAUCAUAAAGGAUAUCAAAAUAACAUCAGAAUGAAUACAGGAAUAAAUAAAUUUACUAGUUUAACAGUAUUGAUAAACGAACGUAAUAGACAACGAUAGAAGACGCACAAAGAUAUCUUUUGAAAUAUUAAAACAUUUAUCGAUGACCUGUUAUCUUUUCCUUACAACGCCACUUAUAUCUUUUCUGUUUAAUUUCUCGAAUUUGAUUCGUCGAAUCUAUCGGAUUAAUUUAUCGAAUUGAAUUCGUCGAUAACUUAAGAAAAAAAUAUUGAAAUAUUAAAAUGUUUAUCGAUAAUCCAUUAUCCUUUCGUUACAACGUCGCUUAUAUCUUGGAACAUCAUCGACCUUCGUUACUGAUAACAAAGCAACUUCUUCGUCGAGUUGCAUCACUGACUCUCUGCUCAUCAAUAACGCCUUAAUUGCCUCGAACAAGUUGCGCCGUGAAAAUAACAUUAAUUGCGGACUCGCAUCGGGUCACUCGGACGCUCUUGCACCGUCAGCUUUAAUCGGCAGACGGAUGAGGCCGUUCUAUUGGCGCAAACAAUGCAGGAGGAGUAUUUAUUGCGGCGGCUAAUACCGGUUUAUUGGGAUGUAAAAUGAGGCGAGUCCGUGCUGACAUGCUUGGUUUCCUCCUGUUCGAGCUCACCGGCGUCCGACGCAUAAUGGAACGCGCUUUGGCGUCCGUUAUGAAUAAAGGAACAACCAUCGUCGAUCGUUAACCGCGUAUUACGUUUAAGAUUGCCGCUAACCAACUGCUCGCUUAAUCGUGCUUGAAGAAUCACGAGAUUCCCGCAUUGGUCAUUGACAUUUGUGUCUGUGCUUUCUGACGUAUGACAAUAUUCAACGUGUUUUCGAUGG